rnacentral:rRNA from 1 species
GAUGAACGCUGGCGGCGUGCCUAAUACAUCCAAGUCGAGCGAACAGACGAGGAGCUUGCUCCUCUGACGUUAUCGGCGGACGGGUGAGUAACACGUGGAUAACCUACCUAUAAGACUGGGAUAACUUCGGGAAACCGGAGCUAAUACCGGAUAAUAUAUUGCACCGCAUGGUUCAAUAGUGAGAGACGGUUUUUCUUUCGCUAAUAGAUGGAUCCGCGCCGCAUUCGCUAGUUGGUAAGGUAACGGCUUACCAAAGCGACGAUGCGGAGCCGACCUGAGAGGGAGAACGGCCACACGGGAACUGAGAAACGGUACAGACUCCUACGGGAGGCAGCAGUAGGGAAUCUUCCGCGAUGGGCGAAAGCCUGACGGAGCAACGCCGCGUGAAGGAUGAAGGUCUUCGGAUCGUAAAACUCUGUUAUUAGGGAAGAACAAAUGUGUAAGUAACUAUGCACGUCUUGACGGUACCUAAUCAGAAAGCCACGGCUAACUACGUG